GCUUUCAAGGUGGGAAUUGCUUUGGAAACUGGCGGGCUGGAGUGCAGGAGAGGUUAGCGGAAUUCCCGGUGUAGCGGUGAAAUGCGUAGAGAUCGGGAGGAACACCAGUGGCGAAGGUGGCUAACUGGACUGUAACUGACGCUGAAGCGCGAAAGUGUGGGGAGCAAACAGGAUUAGAUACCCUGGUAGUCCACACGGUAAACGAUGAAUGCUAGGUGUAGGGGGUAUCGACCCCUUCUGUGCCGGAGUAAACACAAUAAGCAUUCCGCCUGGGGAGUACGGCCGCAAGGUUGAAACUCAAAGGAAUUGACGGGGGCCCGCACAAGCAGCGGAGCAUGUGGUUUAAUUCGAAGCAACGCGAAGAACCUUACCAGGUCUUGACAUCCACUUAAAACGGCAGAGAUGCCGCGUGUCUUCGGACGAAGUGAGACAGGUGGUGCAUGGUUGUCGUCAGCUCGUGUCGUGAGAUGUUGGGUUACGUCCCGCAACGAGCGCAACCCUUAUUUUCAGUUACUAACGCGUGAAGGCGAGGACUCUAAAGAGACUGCCGGGGACAACUCGGAGGAAGGUGGGGACGACGUCAAAUCAUCAUGCCCCUUAUGACCUGGGCUACACACGUGCUACAAUGGCCACUACAGAGAGGAGCGAAGCCGAGAGGUGGAGCAGAUCUCAAAAAAGUGGUCCCAGUUCGGAUUGUGGGCUGCAACCCGCCCACAUGAAGUCGGAGUUGCUAGUAAUCGCGGAUCAGCAUGCCGCGGUGAAUACGUU
rnacentral:rRNA from 1 species